rnacentral:snRNA from 1 species
GGAUGUGAGGGCGAUCUGGCUGCGACAUCUGUCACCCCAUCGAUCGCCAGGGUUGAUUCGGCUGAUCUGGCUGGCUAGGCGGGUGUCCCCUUCCUCCCUCACCGCUCCAUGUGCGUCCCUCCCGAAGCUGCACGCUCUGUCGAAGAGGACGACCUUCCCCGAUAGAGGAGGACCGUUCUUCGGUCAAGGGUAUACGAGUAGCUGCGCUCCCCUGCUGGAACCUCCAAACAAGCUCUCAAGGUCCACUUGUAGGAGAACGUAGGGUAGUCAAGCUUCCAAGACUCCAGACACAUCCAAAUGAGGCGCUGCACGUGGCAGUCUGCCUUUCUUU